GGUUGAGAUACUAAAAUGUACGUCAUGUAUAUAACAUCACGUAGAUGGCGUUUCUGCGACUUCUCCCUGGGUCGGUGGAGUUCAGUUUAGCCGCUGUUUCCCGAGGCUGAGGAGGUCAACUUUGUGACAGCUAUGUUUUUCUGCUCUCAACAUGGCGCAGAGAGAUGCCCUGACUGAAAAGGACAAGCAGUGUUCUUGGUCCUUUCUGUCGCCCUCCCAAUUUGAAUUCCCAUCUGUUUUGGAAGACAGAAGACAAUUAAGAAAAAAAUGAACCAAAUCCAUACAUCUCAGAGAACAGACUCAACAUUCGACCAGAGGGGCUAGAAUAAACUUUGGAGUGACUGACUGCCUCCCUGUACAAUCAGCUGAUGAAAGAUGAGAUAGAAGACAGAUCUUUAGGAUUCUAACUCAACGGUCUUCUCAGAUUGCUCCUCUCUGAACCAAACAUAGCUUGAAGAUUCAAUUUCUAGAAAAAGAAAAAUGAAAAAACAACAGAGAGUGCAGGAUUCACCUUCUGUCUAUGCAUGUGCUACGCAGAGUCACCUGCAAGAUGACCAGCCUUACAGAAAUAUGACUAGGGGAAAUGACUGUAACUUAAGGAUACUCUGCUCUGUGCAGCAGCCAGCAAGGUGCAUCUUCACUUUCUUUGACCUCACUGUGGUAUCCUUUCCUUCUGGAUGUGGGCUUCCUAAUUCGGCCUCAAGCUCCCCAACGGGCAAUAUUCACGUCUCCACUACCAUACUAAAACCUCAACGUAUGCCAACGCGUGGGAAGGUUCCCAGGAACAUUUAGUUGUGGUCCACGUGAUGACACAUGCAGUUAACCACAGGACUGGAAGGCCAGCCUGGUCCAGCGUCCAGAGUGCCAGGCUUGCUGGGCAUACGGAGAGAACCAAAGCAGGCCAAUUCCGAUAUAGCAAAGAGGCUUACUCGCUAACCGGUUAGAGUGAUACGGCUCCUUCCGGACAAUGGAGUUGGCUCUUAAAAGAGCCGUUUGUUUUACAGUUUGUGUG